rnacentral:rRNA from 1 species
AUCUAUACUGUGAAACUGCGAAUGGCUCAUUAAAUCAGUUAUCGUUUAUUUGAUAGUACCUUACUACUUGGAUAACCGUGGUAAUUCUAGAGCUAAUACAUGCUAAAAACCCCGACUUCGGAAGGGGUGUAUUUAUUAGAUAAAAAACCAAUGCCCUUCGGGGCUCCUUGGUGAUUCAUGAUAACUUAACGAAUCGCAUGGCCUUGCGCCGGCGAUGGUUCAUUCAAAUUUCUGCCCUAUCAACUUUCGAUGGUAGGAUAGUGGCCUACCAUGGUAGCAACGGGUAACGGGGAAUUAGGGUUCUAUUCCGGAGAGGGAGCCUGAGAAACGGCUACCACAUCCAAGGAAGGCAGCAGGCGCGCAAAUUACCCAAUCCCGACACGGGGAGGUAGUGACAAUAAAUACUGAUACAGGGCUCUUUCGAGUCGUGUAAUUGGAAUGAGUACAAUUUAAAUACCUUAACGAGGAACAAUUGGAGGGCAAGUCUGGUGCCAGCAGCCGCGGUAAUUCCAGCUCCAAUAGCGUAUAUUAAAGUUGUUGCAGUUAAAAAGCUCGUAGUUGAACCUUGGGCCUGGCUGGCCGGUCCGCCUCACCGCGUGUACUGGUCCGGCCGGGCCUUUCCUUCUGGGGAUCCGCAUGCCCUUCACUGGGUGUGUCGGGGAACCAGGACUUUUACUUUGAAAAAAUUAGAGUGUUCAAAGCAGGCCUUUGCUCGAAUACAUUAGCAUGGAAUAAUAGAAUAGGACGUGCGGUCCUAUUUUGUUGGUUUCUAGGACCGCCGUAAUGAUUAAUAGGGAUAGUCGGGGGCAUCAGUAUUCAAUUGUCAGAGGUGAAAUUCUUGGAUUUAUUGAAGACUAACUACUGCGAAAGCAUUUGCCAAGGAUGUUUUCAUUAAUCAGUGAACGAAAGUUAGGGGAUCGAAGACGAUCAGAUACCGUCGUAGUCUUAACCGUAAACUAUGCCGACUAGGGAUCGGGCGAUGUUAUUAUUUUGACUCGCUCGGCACCUUACGAGAAAUCAAAGUCU